rnacentral:lncRNA from 1 species
UUUCCCUCUUCCCAAAUAGAACAUCUUCAUAAAUUGGAUUUGAUGAUAAUAGGAGGCAUAUGCCACCCGAUAAUUUAUUGCAAGAUAAAAGUUGAACUUACAGUGUUCAUGCUGUGCGCCAUUAGAGGAUGUGGUCCCAACAAUGCAUACACGUCAGCUUAGGAAUUACAUGUAGAAUAAGAUAGUUUACAUUGCUCAUGCAACAUUUACGAGAAAGUGCUUGCUUAAGUUACAAGCAUUUGCAUAGGCUCAUCUCCUCUUUCUUUUUUUAUGGUUGUGGAAAAAUAUAUUUUUCAAGCUUCACCUUGCACUUAGAACCCCUAGCAUUUUGUCUACAGUGCUUUGUAUUUCUUUUAGUGCCAUGAAGAACCGUGGCUUGUUUGUUUCGGAGGUUAUUGAUAUCUAACUUUCAAAUAAAAACAAAGCUUCCUUAAGCACCAAUAUGGGAGCAUUUGCUUGGAAUUGGAAGACUUUUUUGUUUCUUUCUUUCCAUAUGCUCCAGAUAAUUGUUGCAAUUAAAGAAUUAUGUACUGAUCUUAAGCUUUGCUCUUUGUCUUUUCUCCUUUUUAUAGUCCACCACUUAUCUAGGAAAGUUAGGAUGUAGGAAUUUCUCAUUUUCACAUAAGCUUUGCUCUUUGCCUUUUCUCCUUUUUAUAGUCCACCACUUAUCUAGGAAAGUUAGGAUGUAGGAAUUUCUCAUUUUCACAUAAAUUGGAUUUGUAAAUUCACCAAAAAUGCUAUGAUUCUUCUUCUACAUCCCUUCAUCUUGUAGUUGUACUAUAAUCCCUGAUAGGUUCAAAAUAGUAGGUCCCUCUCAAGGACCUCUAAGCUUAUGGAGGUAGAACAAAAUGAUGAAGAUUCAGAGUUUAUACAGCUAGUUAGGGAUCAAGAGCAACCAAAGGACCACAUUAUUGAAGACACUACAGAAGUGAACCCUAGACACUCAAAAUAUCCUAGUUGAUAAAGAUAUAAAUUAACUCCUCAACUAAGCAAGGAUUUGAUCACAUUCUUGCAUGCAAAAGAUGUCUGUGCCUAGUCUUAUUCUCAUAUGCAGGCCUUGAUCUAGAGAUCGCAAUACAUCACCUCCUAAUCGAACCAAGUCCUAGGCCAGUUCGAGGAAACUAAAAAAGCUACAACAAGAAUUGGCUUUAAAGAUGGAAGUAAUGAUUUGCACGUUGGAUUUCUAUAGGUUAUUAAUUACCUUGACUAGAUGAUGAAUGUUGUCCUAGUCAUCAAGAAGAAUAAAUCUAUUAUGACCUACUGAUUUUCAUGAUCUGAACAAGCUAGCCCAAAGGAUGAGUUUCUCUUAGCUAUCAUUGACUUGCUUGUGAACAGCACUACAACAUUCAUCAAAGAACAGACCUAAGUUGGGUUCUAAAGGUAUUAAAUCCAUUUUCCUUAGAUAUUCUAGAAAUAGUAAAACUUAUAGAUUUUUGAGUAUCAAUUCUGUACUAGAAACUAUGCAUGCUGAAUUCUUUGAAAGUCUAACUAAAAAAGAUGCUAGUUCUUUGGAACUAGAAAAUGAUGCAGCCAAUGAAAUAGAAGAAUCUCAAGAUAUUGUAGAACAAAUUCAGGUUGAAAAUAACAAAUAUAAUAGAAUUGACCAAGAAUAGUCAAAUUUAGAAUCUCAUAAUGAACCUUAG